GCCUUCGUGGUGUAGUGGUCAGCACGCUCGACGCAUGUUCAAGAGGUCCGUGGUUCGAGUCCCGGCUAGGGCA
rfam:Stegodyphus mimosarum contig90132, whole genome shotgun sequence.